GUGGGGAAUAUUGGGCAAUGGGGGAAACCCUGACCCAGCGACGCCGCGUGAGGGAAGAAGGCCUUAGGGUCGUAAACCUCUGUUGUGUGGGAAGAAGAGCGUGACGGUACCACACGAGGAAGUCCCGGCUAACUACGUGCCAGCAGCCGCGGUAAUACGUAGGGGACGAGCGUUGUCCGGAAUUACUGGGCGUAAAGGGCGCGUAGGCGGUCAUUUAAGUCAGCUGUGAAAUGGUCCGGCUCAACCGGAUCAUGCGGUUGAAACUGGAUGACUGGAGUGCUGGAGAGGCAAGUGGAAUUCCCAGUGUAGCGGUGAAAUGCGUAGAUAUUGGGAAGAACACCGGUGGCGAAGGCGACUUGCUGGCCAGCAACUGACGCUGAGGCGCGAAAGCCAGGGGAGCAAACGGGAUUAGAAACCCUUGUAGUCC
rnacentral:rRNA from 1 species